CAGGAUACAACCUUGGAAAUGGAGUGGCAGCCCAGCCAGGUUCCUGCAAUGGUGGCAUUGCUCCACCACAAUUCCUCCCUGGGCCCCCACGACAGUCCCUUCAGAUAAAGGAGGUGACUGGAUCUUGAAAUCUCAGCUCCCACCACCAGUGCAGAAUGGUAAAUUCCCAGCACCAACCCCGGCCAUUCAGUGGGGACCGAAGCCUCAGAAAGCAGGUUACCAGCCCUCCAAUGGCUAUGGAGCUGGAGCACAACUGGGCUUCCAUGGUGGCCUCAAGCUGCAGAAAGUUGGUUUCCAUUAUGGAAAUGCAGCUCUGGAAGCUGGAAUUUUGCCAGAGACUCUGCAGUCAGGGUUCCCCAUAGCCAAUGGCUUUAGUAAUGG